CGGAGGUGCAAGCGUUAUCCGGAUUUAUUGGGUUUAAAGGGUCCGUAGGCGGACUCGUAAGUCAGUGGUGAAAUCUCAUAGCUUAACUAUGAAACUGCCAUUGAUACUGCGGGUCUUGAGUAAAGUAGAAGUGGCUGGAAUAAGUAGUGUAGCGGUGAAAUGCAUAGAUAUUACUUAGAACACCAAUUGCGAAGGCAGGUCACUAUGUUUAACUGACGCUGAUGGACGAAAGCGUGGGAGCGAACAGGAUU
rnacentral:rRNA from 1 species